AUCAAUGGUGGCUCAGGCAGGGCAGCCUUCGGGCUGGCCGGUGUCCUUGUAGGCCGGUACUGCGAACCUUGUCUGAGCUACCACCCAA
rnacentral:antisense_RNA from 1 species